UUGAUUUAUAAAAGAACUACCUACUAAUGGAAAGAGCAUAAAAAUUACAAUCCACAGAGAUGAUCUCCUAUGCCUAGCAAAAGCCAUAACCCAAAAUUUCACUGAUUCCCUACUCAAACUAUAAUGUGAUAUCUAAAGGGCAUAAAAAUAUAGCUCAACCUCAACUAUCUUUAAUAAUGCCAAUAAAAAUGACCAUGACAAUUGGUAAACCAUAGUAAAAUACAAUCAAUUCAUAAGCAAGUAGCAUUUUGGGAAUGGCAGGUCCAAGCAAUUGUCCCACAAGUUAAGCAGCUCUCACCUGGGGAGGGACAAUAGCAGGAGG
rnacentral:misc_RNA from 1 species